GUCUAUGGCCAUGCCACCCUGAACAAGCCUGAUGUCUGAUCUCAGAAACUAAGCAGGGUUGGGCCUGGUUAGUACUUGGAUGGGAGACCACCUAGGAAGACCAGGUGCUGUAGGCA
rnacentral:rRNA from 1 species